AUUGAACGCUGGCGGCAUGCCUUACACAUGCAAGUCGAACGGUAACGGGCCCUCGGGUGCCGACGAGUGGCGAACGGGUGAGUAAUGCAUCGGAACGUACCUUUCAGUGGGGGAUAACGUAGCGAAAGUUACGCUAAUACCGCAUAUUCUGUGAGCAGGAAAGCAGGGGAUCGCAAGACCUUGCGCUGAUUGAGCGGCCGAUGUCAGAUUAGCUAGUUGGUGAGGUAAAGGCUCACCAAGGCGACGAUCUGUAGCGGGUCUGAGAGGAUGAUCCGCCACACUGGGACUGAGACACGGCCCAGGCUCCUACGGGAGGCAGCAGUGGGGAAUUUUGGACAAUGGGGGCAACCCUGAUCCAGCCAUGCCGCGUGAGUGAAGAAGGCCUUCGGGUUGUAAAGCUCUUUCGGCCGGGAAGAAAUCGCACAGGCUAAUACCUUGUGUGGAUGACGGUACCGGAAUAAGAAGCACCGGCUAACUACGUGCCAGCCGCCGCCGUAAUAC
rnacentral:rRNA from 1 species